GACGAACGCUGGCGGCGUGCUUAACACAUGCAAGUCGAGCGGUAAGGCCCUUUCGGGGGUACACGAGCGGCGAACGGGUGAGUAACACGUGGGUGACCUGCCCUCAGCUCUGGGAUAAGCCCGGGAAACUGGGUCUAAUACUGGAUAUGACUCCAUGACGCAUGUUGUGGGGUGGAAAGCCUUGUGCGGCUGGGGAUGGGCCCGCGGCCUAUCAGCUUGUUGGUGGGGUGAUGGCCUACCAAGGCGACGACGGUAGCCGGCCUGAGAGGGCGACCGGCCACACUGGGACUGAGACACGGCCCAGACUCCUACGGGAGGCAGCAGUGGGGAAUCUUGCGCAAUGGGCGAAAGCCUGACGCAGCGACGCCGCGUGAGGGAUGACGGCCU
rnacentral:rRNA from 1 species